GAUGAACGCUAGCGGGAGGCCUAACACAUGCAAGCCGAGCGGUAUUAUUUCUUCGGAAAUGAGAGAGCGGCGUACGGGUGCGGAACACGUGUGCAACCUGCCUUUAUCUGGGGGAUAGCCUUUCGAAAGGAAGAUUAAUACUCCAUAAUAUAUUGAACGGCAUCGUUUGAUAUUGAAAGCUCCGGCGGAUAGAGAUGGGCACGCGCAAGAUUAGCUAGUUGGUGAGGUAACGGCUCACCAAGGCAAUGAUCUUUAGGGUGCCUGAGAGGGUGAUCCCCCACACUGGUACUGAGACACGGACCAGACUCCUACGGGAGGCAGCAGUGAGGAAUAUUGGUCAAUGGGUGCAAGCCUGAACCAGCCAUCCCGCGUGAAGGACGACUGCCCUAUGGGUUGUAAACUUCUUUUGUAUAGGGAUAAACCUUUCCACGUGUGGAAAGCUGAAGGUACUAUACGAAUAAGCACCGGCUAACUCCGUGCCAGCCGCCGCGGUAAUAC
rnacentral:rRNA from 1 species